GCCGGGCCGGGCUGAGCUGAGGCGAGGGGACGGUGCCGCCGGCCGCCAUCCCCAGGUUGAGAUUUACAUCACUGUCAACGUGUCUGCAUCAAUUUCAGCUGGUUUGGAUGCCUUUAUGUGGAAGAGGCACAUUUGAACACAAUUUAUUCUUUUGUAGAACUGAAUUAGGGAAAUAAUUCCAUUUUGCAAGCCUAAAAAACAUAAGCUUCCCUCCAGUUCAGUUCACACGUAAUGUGUGAUCCUCACUGAUUCAUAAAGUGUCUGAGAGGAAAAUGCUAGAUUGAUCCUGGCAUUUACCAGGCAUUAGCACUUCCCUUCUUUAGUAAAAAAGACAGGAAGUCGAUGGUUCACAUUUUUAUGAGGCCUUUUGGAUACAGGUUUCAUCUGAAAAUAGUUAUGUUAUUAAAAAGAUGUGCAGUAAUGUGUUGUAAUAAUACUUAAUAUAAAUGUAAAAUGCUUUUUGGAAUAAAUUCUGGGCUGAAUAAUACCUCACUGGACAUAUAGGCAAAAAUUUUAUCGUUUAAAGCUGAAAUAACCUCAGAAUUCAGGCUUAACAUAUGACUCAGUAGGGUUUUUUCUUAAGUAUUUACUGUUGCAUAUUUAGAUUGUACAAUCAAGGUCUUUCUUUGCUAAUUAGCCUCAAAAUAGCUGGUAAUAGAAUCCACUUCUUUGAUUUCCAAGGGGGUGUCAGUGCUAUGAAGAAAUGAACUUCAUUUCAUGGCAAAACUGGUUGCAGGUGUACCAGAGAAAACCCAGUUAAAACAGUGGUAUUUUUAUAUAA